GGAGGAAAAGAAACUAACAAGGAUUCCCCUAGUAGCGGCGAGCGAAGCGGGAAGAGCUCAAAUUUAUAAUCUGGCACCUUCGGUGUCCGAGUUGUAAUCUCUAGAAAUGUUUUCCGCGUUGGACCGCACACAAGUCUGUUGGAAUACAGCGGCAUAGUGGUGAGACCCCCGUAUAUGGUGCGGACGCCCAGCGCUUUGUGAUACAUUUUCGAAGAGUCGAGUUGUUUGGGAAUGCAGCUCAAAUUGGGUGGUAAAUUCCAUCUAAAGCUAAAUAUUGGCGAGAGACCGAUAGCGAACAAGUACCGUGAGGGAAAGAUGAAAAGCACUUUGGAAAGAGAGUUAACAGUACGUGAAAUUGUUGGAAGGGAAACGCUUGAAGUCAGACUUGCUUGCCGAGCAAUCGGUUUGCAGGCCAGCAUCAGUUUUCCGGGAUGGAUAAUGGUAGAGAGAAGGUAGCAGUUUCGGCUGUGUUAUAGCUCUCUGCUGGAUACAUCUUGGGGGACUGAGGAACGCAGUGUGCCUUUGGCGGGGGUUUCGACCUCUUCACACUUA
rnacentral:rRNA from 1 species